AAUUACCAAGAAUCUGGGUAAUCGUAAAUUGCAGUAUAUUUAUCAGUAUUCUUAUUCCGCAUUAGUUUGUAAAACAUUGAUAUCCGUUUCAUUUAUAAUGAUGUCAUUGAAAAAAGAAAUCUAGUCCAAGUUGUGUAAUGGCUGCUACCUUCUCUUCUGCUCUCGCGUAAGCGUUAUCCCGUGUUGGAAAACCAGGUCUAGUCUUGAAAGACAAGCAGCUGGAGGCGUUGAAGUGUCUGUACGCUGGUGUUUAUGUGGGUACCGUACCGACCGGCUAUGGCAAGUCCCAGAGCAAGUCCAUCUGCUUUCCAGACACUCCCUUUCUUGAUUGAUGUGAAGCUUGACAGGACCAGUGCACCUCUCUCUGAAAGAAGUGUUGUGAUGGUGAUUUCUCCUCUUGUUUCUCUGAGUGAAGCCAUCUUCAAAGUGUUGGUGUGUCUGUUCGACGUUCAGUGCCAUUCUCUCUGGAAGGAAGUAUUGUUGUGACAUUUGCCGAAAAUUGGUCACAGAGUAAGUACGUGGUAUCUGAUCCGAGAACUGUGUGGCCUGAAUGUGUUUACAAUCCGAGGGACUUGUGUGUAUCCGAUCCGAGGGACUUGUUGCUUGAAUGUGUAUCCGGACUUGUUGCUUGAGUGUGUAUUAAUGGAUAGUGCUUUCAAUGGUUUAACUAAUUUCUUAUGAGAUUAACUUGUCGCCUGAGUGUGUAUCCGAUCCGAGCCUCAAGUUAAUGAAUAAAUCUACAGAGCUGAUGUUUUACUUAGCUGUCUCUGUCUACAGUAUAUACAGAGAGGUAGCCUCUUCUUUUUCUUUUUUCUGUUCUUUAUCACAAUAACUGUUUUAACGUUCAA